rnacentral:rRNA from 1 species
UACGGGAGGCAGCAGUGGGGAAUAUUGCACAAUGGGCGAAAGCCUGAUGCAGCUAUGCCGCGUGUAUGAAGAAGGCCUUAGGGUUGUAAAGUACUUUCAUCGGGGAGGAAAAAACAAAACUAAUAAUUUUAUUUCUUGACGUUACCCGAAAAAGAAGCACCGGCUAACUCCGUGCCAGCAGCCGCGGUAAUACGGAGGGUGCUAGCGUUAAUCAGAAUUACUGGGCGUAAAGAGCACGUAGGUGGUUUUUUUAAAGUCAGAUGUGAAAUCCCUGGGCUUUAACCUAGGAACUGCAUUUUGAAACUGAAAUACUAGAGUAUCGUAGAGGGAGGUAGAAUUCUAGGUGUAGCGGUGAAAUGCGUAGAUAUCUGGAGGAAUACCUGUGGCGAAAGCGGCCUCCUAAACGAAUACUGACACUGAGGGUGCGAAAGCGUGGGGAGCGAAACAGGGAUUAGAUACC